GGGCGGUUAGCUCAGCGGGAGAGCACUACGUUGACAUCGUAGGGGUCACUGGUUCGAUCCCAGUACCGCCCACCA
rnacentral:tRNA from 4 species